GACGAACGCUGGCGGCGUGCCUAAUACAUGCAAGUCGAACGAGAGCGACCGGUGCUUGCACUGGUCAAUCUAGUGGCGAACAGGUGAGUAACACGUGGGUAACCUGCCCAUCAGAGGGGGAUAACAUCCGGAAACGGAUGCUAAAACCGCAUAGGUCUUCGAGCCGCAUGGCUUGAAGAGGAAAAGAGGCGCAAGCUUCUGCUGAUGGAUGGACCCGCGGUGCAUUAGCUAGUUGGUGAGGUAACGGCUCACCAAGGCCGUGAUGCAUAGCCGACCUGGGAGGGUGAUCGGCCACAUUGGGACUGAGACACGGCCCAAACUCCUACGGGAGGCAGCAGUAGGGAAUCUUCCGCAAUGAACGCAAGUCUGACGGAGCAACGCCGCGUGAGUGAAGAAGGUUUUCGGAUCGUAAAACUCUGUUGUUAGAGAAGAACAAGUGCUAGAGUAACUGUUAGCGCCUUGACGGUAUCUAACCAGAAAGCCACGGCUAACUACGUG
rnacentral:rRNA from 1 species